rnacentral:rRNA from 1 species
UGAAGCUGGAAUCGCUAGUAAUCGCAGAUCAGAAUGCUGCGGUGAAUACGUUCCCGGGUCUUGUACACACCGCCCGUCACAUCAUGGGAGUCGGAAAUGCCCGAAGCCGGUGACCAAACCAAUAAGGAAGGAGCCGUCGAAGGCAGGUCUGAUAACUGGGGUGAAGUCGUAACAAGGUACC